rnacentral:rRNA from 1 species
GACGAACGCUGGCGGCGUGCCUAAUACAUGCAAGUCGAGCGGACGGAUGGGAGCUUGCUCCCAGACCGUCAGCGGCGGACGGGUGAGUAACACGUGGGCAACCUGCCUGUAAGACUGGGAUAACUCCGGAAACCGGGGCUAAUACCGGAUAACUCUUUCCCUCAAAUGAGGGGAAGCUGAAAGAUGGCAUCUCGCCAUCACUUACAGAUGGGCCCGCGGCGCAUUAGCUAGUUGGUGAGGUAACGGCUCACCAAGGCGACGAUGCGUAGCCGACCUGAGAGGGUGAUCGGCCACACUGGGACUGAGACACGGCCCAGACUCCUACGGGAGGCAGCAGUAGGGAAUCUUCCGCAAUGGACGAAAGUCUGACGGAGCAACGCCGCGUGAGUGAUGAAGGUUUUCGGAUCGUAAAACUCUGUUGUCAGGGAAGAACAAGUACCGGAGUAACUGCCGGUACCUUGACGGUACCUGACCAGAAAGCCACGGCUAACUACGUG